rnacentral:rRNA from 1 species
UACGUAGGUGGCGAGCGUUGUCCGGAUUUACUGGGCGUAAAGCGCGCGCAGGCGGACUGAUCAGUCUGGGGGUGAAAUCUCACGGCUCAACUGUGAGCGGUCCCUGGAUACUGUCAGCCUUGAGAUGUCUAGAGGAGAGCGGAAUUCCCGGUGUAGUGGUGGAAUGCGUAGAUAUCGGGAAGAACACCGGUGGCGAAGGCGGGUCUCUGGGGCCGAUACUGACGCUGAGGAGCGAAAGCGUGGGGAGCGAACAGG